CCUGAAAUUCACUUAGUUUUUGAAAGAAGAAAUAGUCCCAGGGAUGCCACCAAUAACAGUCCCCAUCAGAUAGAGGAACUUCCUGGACCUUCUUCAGCUGUGGACUCAUCUGUACAAGCAGGAGCUAAUUCAAACGAAUGGAUGAAGAUUUUAGAUCCAGGCAUGGCGUCUGUAUUGUUCUGCAGGACUCUGCUGAGGGAACAGAGCCAGUCAAAGCCACUGCGUUUCCACCUGGAUUUAAAAGACAGUCCUGAGGACCAAGAAAGAUCCAUUUUGUCUUUUUACAAGGCAAAGGGAGUGAACUGGGCUGCUCCACUAAAGUGCAUAUUAGAAGGAGAUGCUGCAAUUGGUGAUGGGGUCAAUAGACACCUCCUGAGUUUGACUAUUGAGAAGUUGAGGACUGGUUUUUCUCUCAAUUUUGGU